GGGCGCCACAGUGCUCGGGGAGGUGCUAAUGAGGAAGGCGGCAGACCGCACUCCGACACGAGCUGCACCCCGUUCCGCUUCGCAUGGCCCCAACUUGUCCCAGCCUGUGACCUGGUCUCUUGACUUUAGCACCUGUAACCUCAGAGACCCUGCGUUCGACCAAGUAUGGCCAUCAAGUGUGAAAAGUUUCAGCAGAUUCCAAGGUACAGGAAGACCAGGCAUCUGAAGAAUGAAUUCAGCGACUUCGCCCCAGACUGUGGCUCAGCAUCCAGGAACUGACGCUCAGCAGUGCGGUGGGCUUGCGUAGCAUUCUGGCCGUAGGAGGCGUGGGUAGGAAGCUGACUCCCGAGUCCAAGCCCCCAUUAUCUCCAGAUUGCAAGACACUAAAGCUGAGGUGGAAGAAUCUCAAGCAGGUCAGAGCCCCCGUUUCCACAGUGUGGGGUGUACGUACUCGGGCGCAGUCUCCUCACGCUGAGGUACCCCCUUUUCAGGCUGCAGCGUGGGUCAGAAGAUGGUCUUUCUGCAGAGGACCUGGGACAAAAGGAGCAGAAAUGAAAAGUGGAGUGGAUGACUAGUUUCUCACUCCCGGGCAUGGUGUGCUGGGAGCACAGGGUCCUGGCUGGGCCCUGUGCAGGUCACCUGAGCUGGAGGAGCUCACCAGCAGUGGCCACACCUAGAGCACCGUGUCCCUGCCCAUCUCUGUGUGUCCCAGAUCAAUCAGAGGUGUGCUUGUGAGUCUAGCGGCUGCAGCGUGUCUGAAAUCCCCAGCUGGCCAGCUGGGCGAUCACAACAGUAACGGUGCGCAAAGCCUUGGGUGUGGCUGGCUCCACUUGGUGUCCAGGGCCCACCGAGCAGCUUCUCAGCCUUUCUUCUUCUCUCCUGCCUUCGGGUUCUGAAAGGUUCCACUGCCUGCUCCUGGGUCUGUCGGUCUACGAUGACCUGGCCCGGGGUGCCAGGUGCUGCCAGCUGGUGACCACCACCUAAUGGAGCAGGACUUUUUUCCGGGACUUACUGGCUCCUCUUACGCCCAGACAGGCCUCAGUGACCCUGAUGCAGUCUGGAAAUGGUGUAAAACCAACUUCAAAUUGUCUAGAUUGCUGUUACUCCUCCCUGAGGAAACGGAUGCCAAACUAGCUGGACAGCUGACAUGGGCAUCAGCUGGGUGGAGACAGACUGCAGGGCUUCAUGGCAAGCAGCACAGUCACCGGGGUCGGGAAGGAGUCAGUUCUGGAGGACUGGGGAGAAUCGUGGCCGCAGAAGGCGGGAAGCCUGGCCUGAGUCUGCACGGAGCACCGGAGUCCCUAGCCUGA
rnacentral:lncRNA from 1 species